UACAGAGGGUGCAAGCGUUAAUCGGAAUUAUUGGGCGUAAAGCGCGCGCAGGCGGUCCUUUAAGUCUGAUGUGAAAGCCCACGGCUCAACCGUGGAGGGUCAUUGGAAACUGGGGGACUUGAGUGCAGAAGAGGAAAGCGGAAUUCCACGUGUAGCGGUGAAAUGCGUAGAGAUGUGGAGGAACACCAGUGGCGAAGGCGGCUUUCUGGUCUGUAACUGACGCUGAGACACGAAAGCGUGGGUAGCAAACAGG
rnacentral:rRNA from 1 species